CCUGUCUGCGAACGAAGACACUGGUUGUGAGGGAUCUGACUUUAACGCCAGUGUUUCCGAUUUAACCACAUUAUUACACGCAUGGUUACUGUAAUAACGACAGUGCUGAUACAAGCGAGACAUCCGACUCAUUGCUCGGGACGUUUAAUCGUAUUGUAGAGGCGGAUGACGGCACGUGAAGCCUACAUCGCUUCUGGAUCAAGAUGCUAAAGUGCACGAGGAACUAAAUCUGCCCCGGUGAUCGGCGUGCGUCGGUCAUCGCUCAACAAACAGCAGGGAUCGUCACUGGGUUUUGACUGUGUGUCACCGGGUGGACGCUGCUUUCGAACGGCGCGUUACCGGGGGUGGGUGGGAGUUUGCCGCCCCGAGAUGCUAAUUCCAAUGCCCCGCAGUGAGCAUCACACCGCUGAGAUGAGCGCUGACGUGCAGCAUUCGCCGGGUUACCUGGCUGUCACACGUCUGCAGCGCGAGCCUACCGUUCCAGCUGAAUGGUGUCUUAUUUUGGCUGGUUCGCAGUAAAGGUACUGGUACUACCCGGUCCAUCUCCUCUGGGCCCACAGUCAGAUGACUCCAGCUCCAACGUCCUUUGCCUCUAUCCAUGCAGCCCGGGUCCUGGACUAGAUGUGCCCUGCCCUUCUCCGACUGUCCCCUCUUCCGUCCUGCUACAGCAAUGGAAACAGCUGAGUUCACAGCGCGCGCAGCUCAACCAACGUCUCGGUCUGCCUGUGCGCUAUCUGGCCAACUAAAGCGUUCACACUGCAGCCACUGAGCAGGAAACGGCAACUUUUAUUAAGCAUGGCAGAGGGCUGCGCGGGGAGCGGAGGGAGAUGCUGGGUGCUACAUCACACACCAUCACACACCAUCACACACCAGCUCAGCGCACGGCGCCACGGCAGCGACGCCGCUCGGCUGCAGCGUCUACCGACAGAGAACGCGGGGCAUCUCCCCAGCAGCCACAGCACGACGCGGCUCAGCGAUGGCCGAACGGAAAAAGAAGCACCUCUUGCAAGAAUGUGUAGUCAUCAGAAUAAUCAGUGUGCACCUUGAAUGCAUAAUGCUCCAUCUGCUUCAUGCCUGUGCAGCAGUACAGUAUAUUACACCAACCUGCCUUUGUCCGUGCUUACGCGGUCACUGUGGUUAGGUAAUGUAGAACAUGAGAGAAGAUGGCAUCGGCUGCUGCCCCACUGACUAGCGUGGAAGUCGGCAGACAGAUGUUCAUCGAUGUUUACACGCGCUGUUGCAGUGAGCAGCCGAACUGAGGAAGGAGAGUCGUGCUCUCAGCAGGGACUCUGGGUAUAUACCUAUAUAGAGGCUGCUGAUUGAUGCAACGGCAGCAGAUGCGUCAGCACUGCAGACAAGGGGGAGGGGAGGAAGCUGAACCCAGCGUGGUACUGUGAGCCGCUCACUAGCUGCUGAGGACAGAGGUGGUGCUUUUAUUUACAUGGAGUCCGGACUGUGCAUGUCCUGUGUGCGCGCUGGCCAGCUGGCGUCAGAGCGACUCCGCUUAAUGCAAUGUCGACUUCAGAAGCGACCGUAGCUGCUGCCGUAAUAUCAUGCAUGCAGCCACUUAUUACCAGAAUAGAACGGUGAUGAUGCCCUGAAACUAUCUGCACACGAUUAGCUUUGUAGUUUGUAGUUUAAGCACUGUACUGAUACACCUUCACACACUACAUUUAGAAACAAAAUGAAAGCAUCUGUCUAAUCCUCUGUCUGUUGCACUGCAUGUAUUGUGGUAUUACAUCAUCAGUUAUAGCUUAAAUUAGUCCUGUAUUAUCAGGAAGUUACAGUAAUUGUUUCAAGUAGUUUAAUUAUAAAGUACAUACAGUUUAAGGGACCAUGGCUGUAAAUGAUGUCAUUCAUGUCAUUCAUGUUUUUAGACAAUAAAAACAGGUUUGUUUUUUUA